rnacentral:rRNA from 1 species
CCUACGGGGGGCAGCAGUGGGGGAUAUUGCACAAUGGGGGAAACCCUGAUGCAGCGACGCCGCGUGGGCGAAGAAGUAUUUCGGUAUGUAAAGCCCUAUCAGCAGGGAAGAAGAAAUGACGGUACCUGAGUAAGAAGCACCGGCUAAAUACGUGCCAGCAGCCGCGGUAAUACGUAUGGUGCAAGCGUUAUCCGGAUUUACUGGGUGUAAAGGGAGCGUAGACGGCGAUGCAAGUCUGAAGUGAAAGGCGGGGGCCCAACCCCUGGACUGCUUUGGAAACUGUAUGGCUGGAGUGCAGGAGAGGUAAGUGGAAUUCCUAGUGUAGCGGUGAAAUGCGUAGAUAUUAGGAGGAACACCAGUGGCGAAGGCGGCUUACUGGACUGUAACUGACGUUGAGGCUCGAAAGCGUGGGGAGCAAACAGGAUUAGAUACCCCGGUAGUC